rnacentral:rRNA from 1 species
CCCAGACUCCUACGGGAGGCAGCAGUGGGGGAUAUUGCACAAUGGGGGGAACCCUGAUGCAGCGACGCCGCGUGGGUGAAGGAGCGUUUCGGCGCGUAAAGCCCUCUCGGCAGGGAAGAAGGAGGACGGUACCUGACUAAGAAGCCCCGGCUAACUACGUGCCAGCAGCCGCGGUAAUACGUAGGGGGCAAGCGUUAUCCGGAUUUACUGGGUGUAAAGGGGGCGCAGACGGCAGCGCAAGCCAGGAGUGAAAGCCCGGGGCCCAACCCCGGGACUGCUCUUGGAACUGCGCGGCUGGAGUGCAGGAGGGGCAGGCGGAAUUCCUGGUGUAGCGGUGAAAUGCGUAGAUAUCAGGAGGAACACCGGUGGCGAAGGCGGCCUGCUGGACUGCAACUGACGUUGAGGCCCGAAAGCGUGGGGAGCAAACAGGAUUAGAUACCCUCGUAUG